CUCAGUAUCAUCCACAGUCUUCGACAUUGCAAACAUGACUGCCUGUCAAUUUAAAUCAGCAUUGAUGUUGCUAUCUUACCGUGAAAAUAUGGGCUUCUGAUAUCCAAUAUUUAAGACAAAAUGAAAAUUUUAAAAAAUUGGCACACGAAUCAAUUGCCAGAAUGCUUUCGAACGCCAUUUGUAAUGAAUCGACGUGAUCCACGAGGUUAAAUAUAUCCUACAUGAGAAUACUACCUGUAUAGACUGGAAUAACCCAAGUCGGCCUUGUUUAAUUUCCAGAGUUUAUUAACGGUUUUAUUAUUAUUGAUAUGUACCUGUACUUACCUGAGAUCUAUUAUACCUAGUAUAAUUGAUAGAAAUAAAACAGGCUUCCUAGGAAUAUUUUGGAAAUUUGCAAGAAUAGGU